rnacentral:lncRNA from 1 species
CCCAAUGUCUUAAAUAAAUUGCAUCAAUACAUAACAAUCCCCCUAGAACUAGUAAUAUAGGGUCAUAAGCUCUACAAAGCAAUACAAGUAUGGCAAUACGAAUUAAAAUAUUGGUUGAAUAAUAACAACAACUGAAAUGGAAAAAGAUGCCAAGAAUUGCGGUAGGAAUGCAGCUCUACCUCGUCUCUUAGCAAGUCACAACAAAGUACGGACAACUCUCAACUGGGCCUGGAUCUACACAAUUAAGUACAGAUUGUAGUAUGAGUACAACUGAAGGUACUCAGCAAGUAUCAUAACUAACCUCGGUAAGGUAAUAGCAACAAAAAAUAUCAACGAAACUUGCUAAUAACCUGCUCAGUUCAUAAAUUCCACAAGUACACAACAAUAAUACCAUCUAAUCAUAAAACAUAGAUAAAGUCACCUCGAUGCACAAGAGAAAAUAUGCCAAGCCAUGUAUCAAUUAUCAAUCCAGCAUAUAAAUAAGAUAUGCAUCUAUUAUUAAGUCUCGAUGUACAGGUAGACAUAUAUAGAAGAUAUGUACCGUGCUCUCACUAAUCAAACCAAACAACACAUAGAGAAGAUAUGCACAACGAGGCAUGUAUACAUUCUAGAUCUAGCAUAUAGAGAAGAUAUGCGAAUAAAACAUGUAUACAUCCAAGGAAAUUGCAAGUAGAGAAGAAACGUAAUAACUACACACUGAUCAGUUUUCUCAUACCACGUGUACACCAUCAAGAGAAAAAGGUGAAUCUAGGAGGGGUGGAUUCUUAUCCACAUGAUGCACGAACAAAUCACAUGCCAUAUAUAACCACCGCACAGAUCCCUCACAUGCUAUGAUAUCUCAGCACAUGGACCACCCACAUGCUAUCAACCAGACCAUAUCAUACAGAUAACAUAUAUAAGGAUACAUGUAUAUGAACAAUGGAUAUCAACUACAUACUUCUGGACUGAUAUAAGUGACAUGCUAAGAUGUAGACAUGUGCGAAGUGUACUACCACAGUUCAAAUUAGGCGAUUACACCACAAAAUAGCAAUUAAUUAUGUUUAAACAUGAGAUUAACCAACAAAUAACCUCUAACACGAUUCAAUUAGCUCACAAAAGGAGGGACAAACAUAAGAAACAUUAUAGCAUAAAAUAUAGCAAUCAAUUCAAGGCAUAUCAUAGCCACUACCUCGAGCAUUGAUAAUACCCCGGUGCACGUACAUAAGCUCAACCCUCACAUAUGCACUACCCAGAGCGCGUAGCCAACACUAAUAACUCAGGCAACUAGUGCCUCAGCCAAUUUUAGGUAAGAUACUCACCUCAAGCAAACCAAUCAAUACUCUAGAAAUCCCUUAGCACACGAAUCGACCUUCGAACGGCUCGAAUCUAGCAAAAAAUAAUUUAAUAAUAUUAAAUAAAGCCAUAAGAAAUAAAUCCAAACAAUAAAGAUUCGAUCUUUAUAAACUUACACAAAGUCAACCCAAAAAGUCAACCCAGGCCCGCACCCCAAAAUAGGAUAAAAGUCACAAAUCCCGAACACCAAUUUUAAUACGUGUCCAAAUAUGUGUGUUUCAUCUAAAUCCAACCUCAAUUUGACCCGCAAAUCACCAAUUUUUACUCUCCAAAAACCAUAGCAAAACCUAAAUUUCUCCUUUAAAUCAUAUAGUCUAGGCAGGGGCGGCUAAUAUUUUUGGCGGCCUAAAACAAAACCUUAAUUGGGGGCCUUAUUUUUCUAAAAACAAUUCCUAUAUAUUAUUAUUUGAAGUAGAUUUUUCUAGCUUUUUGAAAUAAAAUUUUAAAAAACUUUCACAUAAACCAUUUAAUUUUUCAUGUGACACUAUUGAUCUUAGGUAAAUAGAAUCCGAUUUAAGAAGUUGAUAACUUUUUAUUAAAAUAAAUUUUUGAUGUUUCAAUAUACUUGUUACAAUGAUAAAAAUAUGAAUAAAAAAAUAGAGUUUAAAAGUGUAUUGCUCAUUUUCUAAUGAUAAAUGUAAUAUUUUUUUAUAUUUAUAAUAUUUAACUUUUCUACUUUGAAAUACUUAAUAUUUUUUUAAAAAGAUUUUGGGCCUCAUCAGAAGAAUUGUGGUAGGAUAGAUAAGAUUUCUAUCUUUAACCAGAGUUAUUCAGUUCGAGUAUCUGGAAUGAAAAAAAUUUCUUCUAAGGAGUGGUUCCCAUUUUAAUGGACUUUACAUGGUAUGAAUAUCCCAAAUUAAAUACCAGAUAUCAAGUGGAAUUGAAAAAAAUAUUUUAGGCCCCCAAAAUUUUGGGGCCUAAAGCACCUGCUUUAGUGGCUUCACCCUCUGGCUGCCUCUGUCUAGGUGUAAUAAUCCAUGGGAAAAUAAGAUCUAACAUCAAAAUCAAGUAGAGAUUACUUACCCUUCAGAUUGUAGUAAAAAACACUCCAAAAAUCGCCUAUAGCCGAGCUCUAAAACUCCAAUUAAUAAGAAAUAACCAAACCCCUGAAAUAAAUAUUCUAUCCAGUAGUUUUCGUAUUUGCGGACCAAAAUCCCCCAUCUGCGGUACCACAUCUGCGGAAAAAUAAUCGUAGAUGCGAAAGUCACUUAACUUCCGUCCCUCCGCUUCUGCGAACUUCUCGUCAUUGAUGCGCAUCCGCUUAUGCUGAAGUACCUUCGCACCUGCGACAACGCAUCAACGCUAACAUUGCUGCAUAUGUGGACUUAGCCUCCCCCAACCAUUCCUUGCAUCUACGGCCCCAGGUCCACUUCUACGAACUAACACCUGCACCAAAUACAUCGCAAGUGCGAAAUCGCAAACCAGAACUGCCAAACAACAUGGAAAAGAUCAGAAACUCAUUCGAAACAUAUCCGAGAACCCGUCCAAACAUACUAAGCAGUCCCAAAAUACAACAUGGGCCUAAUCGAGGCCUCAAAUCACACAAAAUAUUAUCAAAAUCACGAAUCGCACCUCGAUUCAAUCCUAAGGAACUAAUCAACUUCCAACGUUCUAAAACUCAUGCCGAACCACGUCUAAUUAACUCAGAAUAAUCUCAAAUCUUUUGCACGAAUCCCAAAUGACAUUAACGAACCCAUUCCAACUCGUUAAAUAAUAAUACGAACCCGAUAUCGAUAAAGUCAACUUCCGAUCAAUCUAUAAACCUUUCAAACUUUAAAAUUGCCAACUUUCGUUAAAUAAAAGCAAAUCAACCUAGGAGCCUCCAAGUCCAAAUCCGGACAUAUUCCUAAAUCUAAAAUCGUACAUCCAGACCUAACGAAACCAUCAAAAUUCCGAUCUGAGGUCGUUUACACAAAUGUCAAACCUUGGUCAACUCUUACAACUUAAGCCUCCAACCAUGGAACUAAGUAUUUUGAUUCACUCCAAAACCUCCCCGAACCCAAGCCAACUAUCCCCACUAGUCACACAAUAAUAAAUACAUAUACGAGAAGCAUCAAAUACGGUAACGAGACUCAAAUACACAAAACGACUGGCCGAGUCGUUACAAUAACUCGGGAUAUAAUAGGCAUAUACAAUGACUACACAAUACACAUUGUAUCCUCAGGAUGUAGUAGGCAUACAUGCGAAGAUAUUGCCUUUCCAUUCACUCCAAAAAGGUUGGAUUCAACCUUAAUCCCCAUCAAUAAGUAUUAUUAAAUCACCAAUACCUUUAAACAUAGUGUUUCAAUUUUGUAUAUACACAAUCUAUAGUAUAAUACACCUAUUGUACAAUAUUAUUCUAUAUUAUAAAUAUAUCAGAUAUAUGAUUAUAUAAAAAAUAGUAUAAGUAUUAUCCAAUCAUCAUUAAAACCCCAUACCACCACUGAAUCUUUACUCGUAAAUACUAUUAGAAACAAAAAAAAAAAAAGAUAAUGAGGAGGAGAAGAAAAAGAAACUACCUACCAAAAAAUCGUAAAGAACUCUUUUGUUUAAGUUUUCCGGUGAGGCUUUUCUGACCGAGAUUUUAUUGAACCGUUAGUGGUUUUUCUUGGUGGAAUGAAGUAUUUACUCAAAUCUGGUAGCUAUGUAGACAAGUGAUGACGAUGAGAUAACUGUGAAAGCAUAGAGCUGAAAGAAAAGAAAGAGAGAGAGAGAAUGAAAGUGGCGGCGAAAGAUUGAGUGUGAAACUAGAUGGGCUCU